rnacentral:sRNA from 1 species
UCAUACAACAUCAGUGUCAGUGUAUA